AUUGAACGCUGGCGGCAGGCCUAAGACAUGCAAGUCGAGCGCAGUAGCAAUACUGAGUGGCAAACGGGUGAGUAUAAUGUGGGAAUCUGCCUUUUGGUUUGGAAUAACACGGGGAAACUUGUGCUAAUACCGAAUAAGCCUUUACAGGUAAAGUUUUAAUGCCAAAAGAUGAGCCCGCACUUGAUUAGCUAGUUGGUAAGGUAAAAGCUUACCAAGGCAACGAUCAAUAGCUGUUCUCAGAGGAAGACCAGCCACAUUGGGACUGAGACACGGCCCAGACUCCUACGGGAGGCAGCAGUGGGGAAUCUUGCACAAUGGGGGAAACCCUGAUGCAGCGAUGCCGCGUGAGUGAAGAAGGCCCUUGGGUUGUAAAACUCUUUCGUCGGGGAAGAAAAUGACUGUACCCGAAUAAGAAGGUCCGGCUAACUUCG
rnacentral:rRNA from 1 species